GUUCUAGGAUGAGGGCAUCUUCGUAAUAGUUCUUUAAACCUUUGCCAUGCCUCAUACAAGGACUCGUCAUCCAUCUGUUGGAAGGCAGUAUUCUCGUUCCUCAACUU
rfam:Gossypium raimondii chromosome 13, whole genome shotgun sequence.